rnacentral:rRNA from 1 species
GCGCGAAACCUCUGCAAUAGGCGAAAGCUUGACAGGGUUACUCUGAGUGAUUUCCGUUAAGGAGAUCUUUUGGCACCUCUAAAAAUGGUGCAGAAUAAGGGGUGGGCAAGUCUGGUGUCAGCCGCCGCGGUAAUACCAGCACCCCGAGUGGUCGGGACGUUUAUUGGGCCUAAAGCAUCCGUAGCCGGUUCUACAAGUCUUCCGUUAAAUCCACCUGCUUAACAGAUGGGCUGCGGAAGAUACUAUAGAGCUAGGAGGCGGGAGAGGCAAGCGGUACUCGAUGGGUAGGGGUAAAAUCCGUUGAUCCAUUGAAGACCACCAGUGGCGAAGGCGGCUUGCCAGAACGCGCUCGACGGUGAGGGAUGAAAGCUGGGGGAGCGAAACCGGAUUAGAUACCCGGGUAGUCCCAGCUGUAAACGAUGCAGACUCGGUGAUGAGUUGGCUUAUUGCUAACUCAGUGCCGCAGGGAACGUACCGUUAAGUUCGCCCGUCGGUGGGGACGUACGGUCGACGAAGACUAGUAAAACGUUAAGGUAAGUUGGGGACGGGGACG